rnacentral:rRNA from 1 species
UACGUAGGGUGCGAGCGUUGUCCGGAAUUAUUGGGCGUAAAGGGCUCGUAGGCGGUUUGUCGCGUCGGGAGUGAAAACUCAGGGCUUAACCCUGAGCCUGCUUCCGAUACGGGCAGACUAGAGGUAUGCAGGGGGGAAUGGAAUUCCUGGUGUAGCGGUGAAAUGCGCAGAUAUCAGGAGGAACACCGGUGGCGAAGGCGGUUCUCUGGGCAUUACCUGACGCUGAGGAGCGAAAGUGUGGGGAGCGAACAGG